rnacentral:rRNA from 1 species
ACCAGACUCCUACGGGAGGCAGCAGUGGGGAAUAUUGCACAAUGGGGGAAACCCUGAUGCAGCGACGCCGCGUGAGUGAAGAAGUAUUUCGGUAUGUAAAGCUCUAUCAGCAGGGAAGAAAAUGACGGUACCUGAUUAAGAAGCCCCGGCUAACUACGUGCCAGCAGCCGCGGUAAUACGUAGGGGGCAAGCGUUAUCCGGAUUUACUGGGUGUAAAGGGAGCGUAGACGGUGAUGCAAGUCAGAAGUGAAAGCCCGGGGCUCAACUCCGGGACUGCUUUUGAAACUGUGUGACUGGAGUGCAGGAGAGGUAAGCGGAAUUCCUGGUGUAGCGGUGAAAUGCGUAGAUAUCAGGAGGAACACCAGUGGCGAAGGCGGCUUACUGGACUGUAACUGACGUUGAGGCUCGAAAGCGUGGGGAGCAAACAGGAUUAGAUACCCGGGUA